rnacentral:rRNA from 1 species
AGAAUCAACGCUGGCGGCGUGCCUCAGACAUGCAAGUCGAACGAUUAAAGCUCUCUUCGGAGAGUGUAUAGAGUGGCGCACGGGUGAGUAACACGUAAGUAAUCUACCUUCGAGUGGGGAAUAACAGUCGAAACGACUGCUAAUACCGCAUAAUGCAGCGGCAUCGCAAGAUGACAGUUGUUAAAGGAUUUAUUCGCUUGAAGAGGAGCUUGCGGCAGAUUAGCUAGUUGGUAAGGUAAUGGCUUACCAAGGCUACGAUCUGUAACCGGUCUAAGAGGACGGUCGGUCACACUGACACUAGAAUAACGGGUACAGACUCCUACGGGAGGCAGCAGUCGGAAUUUUGGGCAAGUGGGCGUAAAGCCUAGGACCCAGCAAACGCCGACCGUGAAGGAUAGAAGUAAUUUCGGUAAUGUAAACUUCGAAAGAAUAGGAAG